rnacentral:lncRNA from 1 species
CUGCACAUUGUGAGCUGAAGAUGGUUGUUGCAGUAACUUCUUGUGGCAGAUGAACAAGUGAGUGUAAAUGAGAUGGGGGAGGUGGGAAAAAUACUCUCUGUCCCAGGUUUAGACAUUGUUUAUCUAACACUGUCAGGGCCCUGUUCUCUGCAGAGGAACUAGAAGACAAUCCACUCCUUGUCUCUGCCAGUUCCCAGCAGCUGCCCUGGCAUCCCUGGACUUGAGAAGCAUCACUCCAUUCUCUGUCCCUGCCACCAAUCAUGAUCUCAUCCAAGUAAACAUCCAUUUCUGCUUUGUUGUAUCUCACUACAUAGCUCUGAUGACCUAGGCUCACUAUGUAGACAAGGCUGGACAUGAACUCACAGGGAUCCACCUGCCUCUGCCUGCUGCUGAGUGCUGGGAUUAAAGGUGAUUCCUCAGACCCUGUUCAACUGUCCUGUGGGCCUGGACAAGAAAGCUGCUCAUCAUUGGAGGGUAGGCCUACCUGCUCAUCUUGAGAAGCACCAGAGAUCGACUUCUGUUUGCUGAAGACGACACGGAUUAACCCAUUGUGAGACAGUCCAGGAUGAAUAGAAAAUGAAGCAGCGCAGAUCAUAGGAGAAAUAUGGUGGUUCCUCAGACCCUGUUUGACUGUCCCGCAUGUCGGGACACCUGGCAUUGAGGUCAGCUCUGCAAUACUGAGCAGGGUGGAAAGCACCAGGAAGGGCAAAUGGUGCAACAACCUGAGCACCUACUAUGUUCCCUGACACACCAACCCAUAAGUGUCUAACAGGAUUUCUGUGCAAGGCCAUGGUUCCUGCCAUAGCAAGAACUGGCUCUAAGCAUCCUGGUUCUAAGGAUGCUGGUUUCCAACUGACUGCCGAGAAGCCAGUCCAGCUGGGUGAUCCACUCCACACAGGGUUCUUGGAAGAUGAGGAGAAGGUGAAAGGCAGAGAACAGAAGCUGUAAGUUCCACACUGGUGAGUCCUGAGUUGGAAGGUGGUGAUGGAAGGGCAGAAACAGGGAGGCAGAGGACCUGGGUCCUUGGUGGGACUCAGUGUCCCCAUAACAAACUACAUAUGAAACCCUUCUGCCAUUAGGGCCUCUCUAUCAUAAGCUGAUUUUAUAAUCAAA